UGUUCUUUUCUGCAAUAUUUUAAGCUCUUUAUAAUGAGCAAAUAUUAUUUUUACAAAAACAAAGGCACUUGCACUUAAGAAAAACCAAAUAAGCCAAAGAUGUCAGCACGGGUUGAUUCUGUCUUCAUGGGGACGGGUGACUGCUGGGCCUGGGUGGGCCUCUGUGAGGAGUGCUGUGUGUCUGUUCCUAGGCUUGGCGGUCCAGCUCACUCAUUCAUUCACCUGUUUUUGGUGCUGGGAAUCAAACCCAGGACCCCUCCAAUGCCAGGCUCUACCACUGAGCUGCACUCCCAGCCCCUGGAUCUGCUUAUGGGAUGAGGACCCUAGAGAGUCCAGCUGAUCAGGCAGAGAGAGAGGCCCUCUGCCCUCUGUGCAGGCUUCCGCACAGACGAGCCCCCAGUCCACCACCCCGCCAGCUCUUGGCCCCUGCUCCCCACUGCACAGCCAGAGAGUCCCAGGACCUGAGGAAGGCUUCCGAACCCGGAGCUCGUGGGGAAGAGGACUCGUGGGAGAGAGCCUCCGGCAACCGCAAGAGGUCGCACCCAGCGCCCGGGAAACAGGAAGGGCCCUGCAGUGAGCCCAGGAGGGAGACAGGAGGCAGCAUCGAGAAAAUUGCCAGGAAGAGUAAAAAGACAAUAAAGUUCUGGUGUCUUUUA